rnacentral:rRNA from 1 species
GAUGAACGCUGGCGGCGUGCCUAAUACAUGCAAGUCGAGCGAACAGACGAUGAGCUUGCUCCCCUGACGUUAGCGGCGGACGGGUGAGUAACACGUGGAUAACCUACCUAUAAGACUGGGAUAACUUCGGGAAACCGGUGCUAAUACCGGAUAAUAUAUUGAACCGCAUGGUUCAAUAGUGAAAGACGGUUUUGCUGUCACUUAUAGAUGGAUCCGCGCCGCAUUGUCUAGUUGGUAAGGUAACGGCUUACCAAGGCGACGAUGCUUAGCCGACCUGAGGGGGUGAUCGGCCCACCUGGAACUGGGGAACGGUCCAAGCUCCUAAGGGAGGCAGCAGUAGGGAAACUUCCGCAAUGGGCGGAAGCCUGACGGAGCAACGCCGCGUUAGGGAUGAAGGUCUUCGGAGCGUAAAACUCUGUUAUUAGGGAAGAACAAAUGUGUAAGUAACUAUGCACGUCUUGACGGUACCUAAUCAGAAAGCCACGGCUAACUACGUG